GCUCAGGACGAACGCUGGCGGCGUGCUUAACACAUGCAAGUCGAGCGGAAAGGCCCUUCGGGGUACUCGAGCGGCGAACGGGUGAGUAACACGUGAGUAAUCUGCCCUCCACUUUGGGAUAGCCACCGGAAACGGUGAUUAAUACCGGAUAUGACCUGUGCCCGCAUGGGUGUUGGUGGAAAGUUUUUCGGUGGGGGAUGUGCUCGCGGCCUAUCAGCUUGAUGGUGGGGUAAUGGCCUACCAUGGCUUCGACGGGUAGCCGGCCUGAGAGGGUGACCGGCCACACUGGGACUGAGACACGGCCCAGACUCCUACGGGAGGCAGCAGUGGGGAAUAUUGGACAAUGGGCGGAAGCCUGAUCCAGCAACGCCGCGUGAGGGAUGACGGCCUUCGGGUUGUAAACCUCUUUCGGUGGGGACGAAGCGAAAGUGAC
rnacentral:rRNA from 1 species